GGGUAGCUUGCUACCCGCUGACGAGCGGCGGACGGGUGAGUAAUGCAUGGGAAUCUGCCCGAUAGUGGGGGAUAACUCGGGGAAACCCGAGCUAAUACCGCAUACGUCCUACGGGAGAAAGCAGGGGAUCUUCGGACCUUGCGCUAUCGGAUGAGCCCAUGCCGGAUUAGCUUGUUGGUGAGGUAAUGGCUCACCAAGGCAACGAUCCGUAGCUGGUCUGAGAGGAUGAUCAGCCACACCGGGACUGAGACACGGCCCGGACUCCUACGGGAGGCAGCAGUGGGGAAUAUUGGACAAUGGGGGAAACCCUGAUCCAGCCAUGCCGCGUGUGUGAAGAAGGCCUUCGGGUUGUAAAGCACUUUCAGUGGGGAAGAAUGCCUUGAAGUUAAUACCUUCGAGGAAAGACAUCACCCACAGAAGAAGCACCGGCUAACUCCGUGCCAGCAGCCGCGGUAAUACGGAGGGUGCAAGCGUUAAUCGGAAUUACUGGGCGUAAAGGGCGCGUAGGCGGCUCGUCAAGCCGGAUGUGAAAGCCCCGGGCUCAACCCGGGAACGGCAUUCGGAACUGGCUGGCUAGAGUGCAGGAGAGGAAGGUAGAAUUCCCGGUGUAGCGGUGAAAUGCGUAGAGAUCGGGAGGAAUACCAGUGGCGAAGGCGGCCUUCUGGACUGACACUGACGCUGAGGCGCGAAAGCGUGGGUAGCAAACAGGAUUAGAUACCCUGGUAGUCCACGCCGUAAACGAUGUCGACCAGCCGUUGGAUCCCUUGAGGAUUUAGUGGCGU
rnacentral:rRNA from 1 species